UGCUUAACACAUGCAAGUCGAACGGUAACAGCAGUACUUGUACUGGCUGACGAGUGGCGGACGGGUGAGUAAUGUAUAGUUAAUCUACCUCUUAGAGAGGGAUAACAGUUGGAAACGACUGCUAAUACCUCAUACUCCUUUUAUCUUAAUGAUAAUUGGGAAAUGUUUUUUCGCUAAGAGAUGAGACUAUAUGGUAUCAGCUUGUUGGUGAGGUAAUGGCUCACCAAGGCAAUGACACCUAGCUGGUCUGAGUGGAUGAUCAGCCACACUGGAACUGAGACACGGUCCAGACUCCUACGGGAGGCAGCAGUGGGGAAUAUUGCACAAUGGAGGAAACUCUGAUGCAGCAACGCCGCGUGGAGGAUGACGCAUUUCGGUGUGUAAACUCCUUUUAUAUAGGAAGAUAAUGACGGUACUAUAUGAAUAAGCACCGGCUAACUCCGUGCCAGCAGCCGCGGUAAUACGGAGGGUGCAAGCGUUACUCGGAAUCACUGGGCGUAAAGCGCGCGCAGGCGGUCUGAUAAGUUGGAAGUGAAAUCCUAUGGCUUAACCAUAGAACUGCUUCCAAAACUGUCAGACUAGAGUGUGGGAGGGGAAGAUGGAAUUAGUUGUGUAGGGGUAAAAUCCGUAGAGAUAACUAGGAAUACCAAAAGCGAAGGCGAUCUUCUGGAACACUACUGACGCUGAGGCGCGAAAGCGUGGGGAGCAAACAGGAUCAGAUACCCUGGUAGUCCACGCAGUAAACGAUGAAUGUUAGUCGUCGGGAUGCAAGUCAUUUCGGUGAUGCAGUUAACACAUUAAACAUUCCGCCUGGGGAGUACGGUCGCAAGAUUAAAACUCAAAGGAAUAGACGGGGACCCGCACAAGUGGUGGAGCAUGUGGUUUAAUUCGAAGAUACGCGAAGAACCUUACCUAGCCUUGACAUUGAUAGAAUCUUCCAGAGAUGGAGGAGUGCCUUUCGGGGAACUUGAAAACAGGUGCUGCACGGCUGUCGUCAGCUCGUGUCGUGAGAUGUUGGGUUAAGUCC
rnacentral:rRNA from 1 species